rnacentral:rRNA from 1 species
UACAGAGGUCUCAAGCGUUGUUCGGAUUCAUUGGGCGUAAAGGGUGCGUAGGCGGCGGGGCAAGUCUGAUGUGAAAUCCCGGGGCUUAACCCGGAAACUGCCAUUGAUACUAUUUGUCUUGAAUACCGUGGAGGUCAGCGGAAUAUGUCAUGUAGCGGUGAAAUGCUUAGAUAUGACAUAGAACACCAAUUGCGAAGGCAGCUGGCUACACGAAUAUUGACACUGAUGCACGAAAGCGUGGGGAUCAAACAGG